AACCCGUAGAUCCGAACUUGUGUGUGAAUUCACCCCAAAUUCAUAAUUGAUGACAUCACAAGUACGAUUCUAAGGGUCCA
rnacentral:pre_miRNA from 1 species